UCGCGGGGCUCCUCCGCCAAGGCGCGCCUGAGGCCGACCGCAGGGCUCCUCGCGCAAGCGCACGGCCUCCGCCAAGGCCGCGCUCGGGGCUGACCAGGAGGCCAUGGUCACCAAGCGCCCGCGCAAGGGAACCACGUCGGGGAAGAAGAAGAAGGCGCCCAAGUCCGUCGCUGCUGCACGCCCUCUCUAGCCGCCUCUCAUCGUCCUCGCGCUCGGCAAAAGGAGGACGAGGACGUUGAGCGGACAUGGGCUGCCACUCCCUCCGCGGACGAGUCGGAGCCCGACGCGGCCGAGCUCGAGCGCUACGGCAUUAGCGAGGACCUCCGCGUGUUCGUCAACGACAUGACCUCCCCCUGCCUAACCCUAGCUUCUCCUCUACGCCGUCGCCUCCACCACUCGUCCUUCUCCCUCCCCUUCUUCAGCUCGUGCUGCAGCAGCUCAUCUGCGCCUCCCUCCUCCUCGCCGGAUCGCCACAGGCUGUCACCUGUGCUCAAAUCAGUGAGGGGCAGCCGGCAGUGGUGGACGAGGGGAUUGACAAACUGCAGCCGGCAGGGAGGGCCUAACCCUAGCUCCUCCUCUGCGUCGCCGCCGCCCGUCCUCCUCCUCCUUCAUCCCCUCCCCGUUGGUGGAGAGAAGGAAGUGGUGCACGCAUGGCUGCCCGACCCGACCACUGCUCCUCCUCGCUCGAGAUUGAAGACGCCCUCGGCCACCCUUCUCUGCCGCCGAUUCCAGUGAGAGCACCGUCGAUCUUUCCUUAGCCUGGAUGUGAUGGCCACUGCCAUGUUUGAAGCUGGUUGAGGUCGUUUCGCCUUCUUGAUAUUCAAUUAUAGAGCAAUGCACUGCUAGCAUCUUGAGACACCACAAUAUGUGAACAGUAGAUUAGGUAUGUUUGGUCUAGAAAUCUGUCCAUUGUGAUGGGUUAUCUCGCUGUAACUUCACGGCUUCAUAUAAUGUUGCUUCCAAGAUCCAAAACAUCCAGAGUCAGGUAUGACUUUUUCUUCCAGUAUUUCCAUUUCGCACUGCAUCUUUCAUUUAGAACAACUAGGCGGAAUAUAAUCGGAUCAGGGGCUGGUGGUGGUAGUCUGUAUGACACUACAAAAAAAAAAAGAUCUAUGCCAUGAUUGUACCCAAGUAGUUUUUCAGUUAACUUAGCAAAUCAAGUGAGCUGAUUGAUCAAAUUUAGUUGUUCGGACUUCCAUUGGUAAAUAGAUAAAAAUGAUCUAUGUUAAUUACUGGUCUUAAUCGUCCACCACAAGAAAAUAUCAGGUUAACAAUUACCUCAAGAAGACAUCAGAGUGGUCACUCAUUUUAGGUGGGGAUAUGCAAUCUGUGCUUUCUUUAAUCAUGUUAGAUUUUUUUUCAGGUUCUCUGAUUGUAGAAUAGUUUGGUUAUGAGCAAUAAAUUGUUCUGAUCAGUUAAUUAUUGUACCUCUGGUUACUGUUCCUCUUAGUAAGUUUUGCAUACGGUUCCUUUCCUUUGAUAUUUUUCUGCUUUAUAUUUGUCUAUGGAUACGAACAAAUAUGAUCAUGAUUGCUGCAUUGCAUAUGGUUCCUUUCCAUUGAUGAUAAAUGGCGAACAACUAUGGUAUUUUUCCGCUUAACAAUAUAAGGUUGUCUUAUGCCUAACUCGAACCCAUAUGUCACUCCAGCAUCUUUCUUUCUACUCCAUAUAUGGUUCUGGCAUGUCUCCUUUAUACCUCAGGCCAUUCAUAUCUUGUUUGUGAGAUCUGCUAAAUUUAAUGUUGCACCACACCCACACGCAAGAUAGAUUUCCAUAUAUUAUUACUUUUGACCAACAACAAGUUCAGAAUUUUUUGCUGUACUGAUUAUACCCUGAGAUUAUUUCUCCCUUACUGCUUUGGAUGCUGAAAUGUAUUUCUGACCCUAUACGAAAAUAUUUGUUUGUGUAAACAAUGCAUCACAAAGUUUCUUUUGUAGGUUUUUUUUUUUUGAUGUAUAAACAUCUUGACUAUGCAAAAGGCAAAUGUACAUGCUCCUUAUUACUUAUCAUAAACAUUUUCCUGGGAGUUCCUUUUUAUUGUUUCUCAUCUGAAAUUGGAUUCAUACUGAUGCCAUUCUUACAUCUCAUUUUGCAACAAUUAUCUUCUGAUAUUAUGAGUCUUGGGGAUUAUAAGUGCCAUUCAACUGUUCACUCUCAUGAGAAAGACGGGUUGGCACUUACUGAUGCAACAACCAAUGCAAACAGAUUCUUGCUGUUCCUUUGCCUCUCGACGUCUCUUUUAUUGAAACUGCAUUAACUGCUGUAUGCCUAAUGCUAUUUCUGCUUGUCAUGUCCUUUCUUUUCAGGUUUGAACCGUCCGUGCCUACUGUGGCCCCAACGACUAUGGGCAAGAAAGGCCUGGAAGAAGAAGAACCCUUUACUAGGAACAACGACGUCUUUUGGUGACCUAAGCCUUUUGGAAACAAGUUUUGUAAAUGGAUGGUUUUUUAUCAGUAUGGAUGUACUAGCGAUUCCUCUGCUUGAGCUCCGGCUCGCAGGCACAUAUUGCCAAAUCACUUGGUUGCUUCAGAGCGACGGUGACUGUUAUCACAACAAUGUCACUGUCCACCCAGACUGUAAGGAUACUUGGAGACAGACUGCAUUUUAGUCAGGUGCACACCUUCCAAGUGUAUAUCCUGGACUUGGUGCCUGGAGGUGAAACGAGAAUGUAAUGAUCUCCAGGUCGCUUUGCCGCCUCCUGCUCAUGGCCGUCAUCGUCCCUUUGUUGUAUUUGGAGCAUUGGCAUCUCUAGCCGAGCUGCGCAAGCAGAAAGCGGAGCAGGAGCAGCUCGGGGACGAAGCCAAGGUCUAAAAUGCCGAAUCUCCCAAUAAAGUGGAUGACAUAGUUGUGAACUAAGCAGCAAAAUGAGGCCAAGAGCAUGAUGGCGUCAUCGCUAUCACCCCCUUCAGUGUCUAGGAACCAGGCAAAACGCCAUUGACAAUGUGUGGGGCGAUGAGCGAAUGGGCGGCGGCAUUGCGCACAAUGGCAUGACGAUCAGAUCGGCGACGUGAUCGAUGCGGUGGACAAUGCCAACGAUCAGUUCAUUAUUGUCGAUCGUUGUGUGGGAUUCUAUGUCAAUCUUUUUCUGUAAACUUUUGUUUUGUUGAUUCCAAUUAUUUAAGAAAUUGUGAAAUUUUGUAUCUUGUGUAAGUAAAUGUCAGUGCCAAGGCGUCUUUUGUAUAUUUCAUGUAAUUCUCAGAAGGUUGCAAAUGAACUUAUUAAUUUGUGUUAUUCUAAACCUUGAAACUUUUGGUGCAUUA